CCGGCACCCGUGACGGUCUGCCCGAAAACCAGCCCUGGUGGGGCAGACCUGAGAACCCGGCGUG
rfam:Camelus ferus unplaced genomic scaffold scaffold2199, whole genome shotgun sequence.